GUGACAGUGGUUCAGUGGGAAGAAUAUUCGUCUUGUAAUCUGAAAGUUGUGGGUUCAGUUACAGUUUUCCUCCUGCUACA